rnacentral:rRNA from 1 species
UACGGAGGGUGCAAGCGUUAUCCGGAUUCACUGGGUUUAAAGGGUGCGUAGGUGGGCUUGUAAGUCAGUGGUGAAAUCUCCGUGCUUAACAUGGAAACUGCCAUUGAUACUAUGGGUCUUGAAUUAUCUGGAGGUCAGCGGAAUAUGUCAUGUAGCGGUGAAAUGCUUAGAUAUGACAUAGAACACCAAUUGCGAAGGCAGCUGGCUACAGGUAUAUUGACACUGAGGCACGAAAGCGUGGGAGCAAACAG